rnacentral:rRNA from 1 species
CAAGUCGAACGAGAACGGAUUAUAGCUUGCUAUAAUUGUCAGCUAAGUGGCGCACGGGUGAGUAAUGUAUAGGUAAUAUGCCUCUUACUAAGGGAUAACAAAUGGAAAACGUUUGCUAAUACCUUAUACUCCUUAUUAACAGGAAGUUAAUAAGGGAAAGAUUUAUUGGUAAGAGAUUAGCCUGUAUUGUAUCAGUUAGUUGGUGGGGUAAUGGCUUACCAAGACUAUGACACAUAACUGGUUUGAGAGGAUGAUCAGUCACACUGGAACUGAGACACGGUCCAGACUCCUACGGGAGGCAGCAGUGGGGAAUAUUGCACAAUGGACGAAAGUCUGAUGCAGCAACGCCGCGUGGAGGAUGACACAUUUCGGUGCGUAAACUCCUUUUAUAUGAGAAGAUAAUGACGGUAUUAUAUGAAUAAGCACCGGCUAACUCCGUG